rnacentral:ncRNA from 1 species
ACAACAACGUUUGAGAAGGAAGUAGUAAAAAGUCGAAAGUUUUAGAGAGCACAUGGUUGGUGGAAAUGUGUACGGACGCUUUUGAACUCGCCUUUAAGUUGCAACUGCCGAAAGUAAUAGUAAGCAGAAGCGGUGACGACCGUUACGACGUCCGAGGCCUUGGUCUACAAGGCAAAAUUAGGUGGUACCACGUAGAUUACGUCCUAUAA